rnacentral:rRNA from 1 species
UACGUAGGGUGCAAGCGUUAAUCGGAAUUACUGGGCGUAAAGCGUGCGCAGGCGGUUGUGCAAGACAGAUGUGAAAUCCCCGGGCUUAACCUGGGAACUGCAUUUGUGACUGCACAGCUGGAGUGCGGCAGAGGGGGGGAUGGAAUUCCGCGUGUAGCAGUGAAAUGCGUAGAUAUGCGGAGGAACACCGAUGGCGAAGGCAAUCCCCUGGGCCUGCACUGACGCUCAUGCACGAAAGCGUGGGGAGCAAACAGG